UACGUAGGGGGCUAGCGUUGCUCGGAAUCACUGGGCGUAAAGCGCACGUAGGCGGCUUCUUAAGUCAGGGGUGAAAUCCUGGAGCUCAACUCCAGAACUGCCUUUGAUACUGAGGAGCUUGAGUCCGGGAGAGGUGAGUGGAACUUCGAGUGUAGAGGUGAAAUUCGUAGAUAUUCGCAAGAACACCAGUGGCGAAGGCGGCUCACUGGCCCGGUACUGACGCUGAGGUGCGAAAGCGUGGGGAGCAAACAGG
rnacentral:rRNA from 1 species